ACCUGGGUGGCUCAGUGGUUGAGCAUCUGCCUAUAGUUCAGGUCGUGAUCCUGGGAUCCUGGGAUGGAGUCCCAGAUCAGGUU
rnacentral:tRNA from 1 species